rnacentral:rRNA from 1 species
GAUGAACGCUAGCGAUAGGCUUAACACAUGCAAGUCGAGGGGCAGCAUAAGAGUAGCAAUACUUUGGUGGCGACCGGCGCACGGGUGAGUAACAUAUAUGCAACCUGCCCAUAACUGGGGGAUAACCCGUCGAAAGGCGGCCUAAUACCGCAUGACGACGAUGAUCCGCACGGUGAUUCGUCUAACGAUUUAUCGGUUAUGGAGGGGCAUGCGUUCCAUUAGAUUGUUGUCAGGGUAACGGACUACCAAGUCUUCGAUGGAUAGGGGUCCUGAGAGGAAGGUCCCCCGCACUGGUACUGAGACACGGACCAGACUCCUACGGGAGGCAGCAGUGAGGAAUAUUGGUCAAUGGGCGAGAGCCUGAACCAGCCAAAUCGCGUGAAGGAUGAAGGUACUAUGUAUUGUAAACUUCUUUUGUCAGGGAAUAAAGUGCGGCACGUGUGCUGUUUUGUAUGUACCUGAAGAAUAAGGAUCGGCUAACUCCGUGCCAGCAGCCGCAGUAA